UCUGCUCUUGGCCAUGCAAUGGACUAUGCUCUAUGAAUUGGCAGGGUCCAGAAAUGUGUUGUAAACUGCACAGCUUAAAGGUCUCAUCCGUAUUUUCAUCUAUGGCUUGCUUCUCCAUUUCAUUCACAAAGAUGUUGGGAGAGAUGUAAACACCCGAGUAGACUAUGCACACCACAGUCCCCCUGCUCUACCAAGCUACUUUUCUUCUGGCGAAUGGCUCAACCCCAGCUCUUAUUGCUCAUUGCCAUUUUUCUGUAAGUAUUCACA
rnacentral:lncRNA from 10 species